rnacentral:rRNA from 1 species
CCGAAUAGGGGAGCCGGAGGGAAACCGAGUCUUAACCGGGCGUUAAGUUGCAGGGUAUAGACCCGAAACCCGGUGAUCUAGCCAUGGGCAGGUUGAAGGUUGGGUAACACUAACUGGAGGACCGAACCGACUAAUGUUGAAAAAUUAGCGGAUGACCUGUGGCUGGGGGUGAAAGGCCAAUCAAACCGGGAGAUAGCUGGUUCUCCCCGAAAGCUAUUUAGGUAGCGCCUCGUGAAUUCAUCUCCGGGGGUAGAGCACUGUUUCGGCUAGGGGGCCAUCCCGGCUUACCAACCCGAUGCAAACUGCGAAUACCGGAGAAUGUUAUCACGGGAGACACACGGCGGGUGCUAACGUCCGUCGUGAAGAGGGAAACAACCCAGACCGCCAGCUAAGGUCCCAAAGUCAUGGUUAAGUGGGAAACGAUGUGGGAAGGCCCAGACAGCCAGGAUGUUGGCUUAGAAGCAGCCAUCAUUUAAAGAAAGCGUAAUAGCUCACUGGUCGAGUCGGCCUGCGCGGAAGAUGUAACGGGGCUAAACCAUG